UAAAAGCACAGCCAUUCCUUGGCGUUGGCUAAGUUUCACCUUCACAUGGUGGUUCGGCGUGAAGUGAACUCUAACGUUACCAUAGGAGAUACCCUCCGCGCCUAUUGUACCAAGGUAAAAUAUAACCGGGUUUACCGUGCCCCUCUAAUAGGCUAGUCCACGGAAACUCGCCCACUGCAGUAAGCUAAUCAAAUAACCCACCAAUUCAAUAAAAUUUUCGACAGCAUGACAUGGCUAAUAUAAUAUUACCAGCUUGUCAAGGCAAAGCAAAACAAUUCAUAUAUUCCACACAAACACAAAUCUAGCCAUGCUUGCCAUCACAUUGUCAUAAGCCAUCAAUUCAAACCAUAUGUCAAAACAUAUAUAUAACACAAGUAUAUAGUCUCCACUUACUCAAUUUCCAAAACCAGUAUUCAAUUUCAAAGCAAGUUAUAAAUCUCAUUUUGUUUAAUCAACACUUCAAUUAUAAAACAUAAAAACGAGUAUAAACUACUUUAGAUAAUUAAGAUGAAAGUUUGAUUACUCACAAUAGCAAGAGUUUGGAGUACUCCUAUUCUUGGUCCUCGGGCACAAUAUCUUUACCCUUAUCAAAGGGCUCACCACCUAUACAUAAUACACGACACGUAAUUCAAUAUAUUUAUGCCAAACUGUUAUGAAACUAUUUCAGGCUCUAUAUGAAUGCAUGACGUUGAAUGAGAAUUGUCCGAAUAAUCACUUAAAGACGGUGUUCUACAUGGGUUCAAUUAUGAUCGGAAUGAAUUUGUAUUCGACCUAAUUCAAACUAUACACCAUUGAUUUAACCAAAACAUCCGAUUCUACUCCAAAUAUAUUCAUUACACUCCCAAUAAUCUAAUACACCAAAGCAUUACAAUGAACUUGAUUUUUGACUAACUUCACCAUUUUUCGAAAUUCAUUCCGAUUCCAAACUAACAUACUAAUCAAUGUCUACACAGUCUCGUAAAUCCAUAUAUAUCAUUAGGAAUCAAAUCCAAGUCCAUUUACUAUGAUUUUCUCAGUUUCCAUCAAGCCAUUUUCUAAAGGAACUAUACUUUUCAAUAACCGAUUUCGAUAUCCAACAUCAUAAUUCAUCAAUUCCUAGCUCAGUAAUAUGAAUUACAACCAAAUCCAUCAUCAACAUGCUCUAUAGAAAAUUCGGCCAAAUGAGGGUGGUUGAAGAACAUGUGAUUUUCUUGCUUGUUUUUCCUUCCAAACAUCACAAAAUGACUAAAAACACUAGGAUAUUAUGAAAUCUAGCAAAAUUCAUCACCAAAACUUCUCUCUCUAGAUUUGGCUAGCAAAGGUUCCCUCUUGAAAACUUGAAUUUCAGCCAUGGAGAGUGAAAAAUAAUGCAUGGGAAAGGUAGAUCACAAGCUAAAAUUAAAAAAUCUUACCUUUACUUGCUUGAUUCCUUGAAAUCCAAUAAUUUCUCUUGAAUUUUUCCUUCCUAGGGUUUGUUCUUCUCUUUUUCUCUUUGUUCCCUUGCUUG
rnacentral:lncRNA from 1 species